rnacentral:lncRNA from 1 species
UUUUUUUUUUUUUUUUUUUUACAGUUUACCCUUAUAUAUAAUAGGGUAUUUUUGUCAUUUCAUUUACCUACAUUAGUUUUGAUAAUUUCCGUUGCUUUUCAGCUUAAUUUAAAUUAUGAAGUGUUAUAUUAUAUGUUUUGAAACUACAAUGGGAUUUCCUAUAUAUUCACUUAACCACUAUUGAUAAUUUUUUUUUUUUUUUUGGCUUUUCCCUAUAUUCACUUAAUUUGUACGUACUAGACGUGUUUCCAACUCAAAUGAGAGGGACAGUAGUCAGUCACUAAAUUGUAAAUUCUUUGGGUCUACUCCCAAGUCUCCUAUUUUCAGAACAGAUGGAUGUUCAUCGAAUUAUAUAGAUAUUCUUUCAACACAACAUGGGUCAACGAAAAAGAUUUUGAAAAUCUACCAAACUACGAAAAAGCUAUGAUCUUUUGGAAAAUGGGCUCCUAUUAGUGCAUAACCACAUUAAUAAAUUCAUACUAACCCAUCAAUUUGGGAUCUAAUUCAAUUAGUAUGGAAUAAUAUUGAUUCAUAUAGAAGGAAAAAAAAUAUCUAUUCAUUCAAACAUUGUACCUAUAUCUAUGGGAUAGGGAUAGAAAAAGAGGAAAUGUCGAAAAUUUCACAUCAUACUUCUGAUCGAAAAAUCAAUUUGACCUAUUUUCAUGCUCAUUGUUCAAUGAGAAACGGGUCAAAUUAUACAAGAUCAAGCCUAUAAAGCUUAAGGAGUGAUAUAUAUAUCUAUAAAGAGAGGAUUUAUUAAAUUUAAAUAAAAAUGAAGUAGAAGAACCUCGAUUCCAAAUGAAUAAAAUCAAAAUUGAAAAUGAUCUUUUUGAUUCUCUUGAAGAAUGAGGGGCAAAGAUCUUUUUACUGACGGAAAUUAAACCAAGCUAAUUUAGUAAUUUAAUUAUCAUUUAGUUACUUAGUUUGGAUGAUUGUAAAAAUUAUAAUUAUGGAAGAUGCACGGGAUCAUAGCUCGUGCUAAGUAGAGGUGGCAAAUCAACCCACUUAACUAAAUUUACCCAUACUCGCCCAUGAAUAGAUGGGUAUGGGUAUCUUAAAUUUUUGUAUAUGGGUAUAAAUGGGUUACCCAAUAAUACCCAUUUAUUUAAAUGGGUAUUAUUGGGUAACCCAUCAAACCCAAUGAACCCAUUUAGAAUUUUCUUCCCCCCAAGUCUCUUAUUUUCCCCCACUUUUUUUUUUUCAAAUUUUUCAUUUUGUCAUGAUGUUAACUAUUUUUGUUUCAUUAUUAUUAUUAUUAUUAUUUGUUGGUUUUAUCUUAUUAUUUUAUUUUCUCUUAAUUUGUUAACUUACUCAUUUUUUAGCAUUACCAAUUUAUGAUAAAUUUUAGCCUAUUUUCUUAUCUUUAUAAAAUGAAAUUUUAAAUUUAUCUAUGAAAAAAAUGUUAGGGGUUCAAAAUUUUUGGAUUAAGUUUUUAUAUUAAUUUUUAUAGUACUUAGUUCAAAUUUUUAUAUUCUUAUUAUUCAAUUAUUAAAUAAUAGGUAAUUUUGUGACAUAGAGUAUAAAUGAAAAAAAAUUGGUAAUUAAGUUUAUUGAACAAUAUAAGUAAAUAUUUAAAACUAAUGAUGGGUACAAAGAGUGGUAUAAAUUGAUAACUUAGUUUGCAAAAAUGAAUUUAAAUGAGUUUGCAAAAAGUUAAAAUAAAUGGGUUAUAAAUGGGUAAUUAUGUUACCCAAUUCAUUUUGUGACUUACCCAUUUAUACCCAUCUAAUUAAAUGGAUAUAAAUGAGUUGACUCACUUAUAUCCAUUACUCAUUUUACCCAACCCAAACCCGCCCAAGUCACCCAUUUUGACACCUCUAGUGCUAAGUAAGGCUUUCUUUAUUUCUUUGUCGGGUGUCCAAGAGUCCCGACCCGAACUGAUUUGGUUGGCAAGUGCGGGUUCCUUGCAGUGUAGGUUGUCUAGUCCUAUUAGUAAGUAUUUGGUUUUGCAACUUUCCUUUCUAGGAGUGGUUUAAGUCAGUCAAGAAUACUAGUUGAUUUAGGUUUGGUCUCGAGUCUUUCUAUAUAUACCAACAGUGGUGCUAGGUUAUUACUCGGAAGAGUUAGAGUCUUGAGAAUAGCUUUAAGAGAAAAUCUCAUAAUUGAGAUUCGUGAAUUGUGGUAAGUGCAAUGGCUUGAUAUUUGUUAUUGUUUAAUUUCGAGUUAAUUAAAUUAGUGAGUAUUUGUUCUCCUCCUCUUCCCACGUAUUUUUAUGUGUUAGAAUUGAGUACAAUGAAAAUUAAGUACAAUGAUCCGAGUAUUAAGAGAGAAUAUUGAUGGAGCAAUUUUGAAAUUGUCUUAAUUAAGAUGAAUGCUGCGUGGUUGACGACGUGAAUUAUUACAUACUAUUAAUAAUUUAUGGAAAUUUGGGUUUUAUUCUUACAGUCUGGAGAUUAUCCUAAGCAGUAAGUAAAACGGAUUAGGUUAAACAGGAGUAUGUAUCACAUCUUUCUUUAAAUUCUCCAACAUUGAUGUCUUUUCAACUAAAAUUCCACUGGUUUUUACAUUCUCCCUUCCUCUUUCUUGUCUUUUUCUAGGGCGCACUUUUCCAAGACCUGAGUAGUAUUUUAUUCUGUCUGCGGCUGUUUGAAUUUCGCUUCAGUUGCGGGAAAAUCUUACGUAAGAAAAAGAACAGUAUUUUGCGAGGGAAAGCCAGAUACCAACGUUAACCUUAACCAUGUGAGAUGGGAACGAGAUACCAAAAUUUCGUGGAUACUAUCUUUAAUUAUAAGGUAUGAAUUUUCCCAGAAGAAUCCCGUCAGACUUAUUGUGUUUAUUGACAAUCGAAUUUUUUCGUAUAUUGAUUAAUUCCAAAUUGGGGUUUCUAAAUUCGAAUUAGAUGAACUUGCCGUAAACCCUAUUUUAUUUCCUUGAUCAAUUAGGAAAAUUUUUGGUACUUUUAAAUUGUCGGACUUUUGGUUACGGGUCAGUUGGGAAUUAGGAAGGUAAUUAAUUAGGGAAAAAAAAGGAAAUAAAUUACAUUGAAUCAGCUUCAUCGUGGAACUAAUUUGGCAUAUUUAAGUUAAUCUGUGCAAUGUUGAAUGAUUUUUAGGGGUGUCAUUCGAACCCGGAGAUGUUAUCCACUCAAUUCCAGAAUUUGGUCCCCCAUCCGGCGUUUGAUGCUCAUCCACUUAAUAAAGCUUCUAGCAUUUAUCAGUCUUCACAAAUAGCUGCGCCUGGGCUUGGGUGGAUGCCUGAUUUUCACAGUAUAAGUUCACAGUAUGGCGACUUGAUGACUACGGGUAUCGACCAUAACGGUACCGGCUAUGUAUAUCAUGACUAUUUGCCUCAAGGUACUCUUUUAGCUGCAUGGAUGUAGAACUUAGUGGAUAUGUGUGCUUGUGCAUCCCUACUUUGUCUCAUGACAAUUAUUGCAAAUGCAGGUUUUUCUUUCAGUAACCAGGGUGCUAGCUCUAGAUUUAUUGCAUCUGACGGGAAUAACAUGUUUACUUCUCUCGGAAAAAACCCAAUUUCUGCUGAGGUCAUUACUUCUCCGGAGCAUAUAGUUCUUAUUAAUGAAGGUUAUCGAUUCAACAACCAGGAUAUUGCCUGUAGAUUUAUCGCGCCUGAUGGAGAUAACAUGUUUUCACCUUUGGGAAAACUGUCAAUUUCUCCUGAGAUCAUUACUUCUCCAGAGCAGAUCUCUUCAAUCACGGCAUGCUCGGAUGUGGACCUGCAUUCUGAUGGUGAAUACUGUGAUGGAGGAUCAACUUUUCCUUCCAUCAGAUUAAACUACUUAUCGAAGCCAUCAUCGCAAAGUUGCAAUCCGGUGCAACAAGGUAAUCAGGGUAUUGUUUUGGUUGUCCAAAUUUAAACUAUGAACUAUGGCCACAUGUGCAGGUUUGGUUGGUCUUUUUUUGAUAUGUCUGAACAGAGAUGGUUAUGAAAGACGUCAUUAUGUGAUGAUACUGCUGCUCAAUAAAUUCUUGUACUGACUAACUAGAAGAUAUAAUGGAACAAGAGAUGCACAUGUGAGAAAAUUGAGAGUUGAGAGUUGAAAAAUGUGUCACUCUAUGUAAAGCUAGGUUUAAAAAGAUCCAUUCAUUUCGAGAAAGUAGAUAGGAGGACCUAAUGCCUCUGUUGAAUUGAUAUGCACGAUCAAUCACUAUGAACAUAUUCUUUAUCAGCCUUUACCUCCAACAUUUAUUGUUUAUUACAUUCUGUAUUGCUUCUUAGUACAUAUUGUUUUCUUAUACGUUGCCUUGUGAUAAUUGUUCUCUUGUAGGGGAGUUGGACUUAGAAGAUCAGAGACUUAUGGAGGCCAAUCAGAAUGUUUAUCAUGAGGUUCUUCCUAUACCAUCUGUUCAACAUGGGCAGAUACCUUAUCCAAACACAUGCAUUUUGGAACAGGUUUUUGAUAGGAUUCCUCAGGGGUCCAAUUCUCUUGCCAGUCAGAUUGCUGGUAAUGCAAUAUCAACUCAUGAAGACUUGUUGCAAGAUCAACUUCCACAAUUGAAUCAAUUGCCUGGACAAUUGCAGUUUGAUGAGCUGUCUAAGGCCCUCAUCAGGGAGGUUGAUUCAGAAAGCCAGUGUGACAAUUAUACCUCUAACGAAAGGUCCUUGAAGCUGAGCCAAUUUUCUGUAGAGCAAGAAUGUCAUAGCCAGCAACAACAGCCAUCUAUUUUGCAACAAAUUGGAGUAUCAAAGAUUGCAGAUUCAACUAAUUUGUCGAUUCAGGACAUUCUUCUUCAGUAUAUUCACCACAGUAAUGAUGUUCAGAAUAAAGGGAAGAACCAAGCUACCUUUUUGAAGAAAUUGCAUGACAUGCGAUGCCAGGACAAAGACUGCAAGUGUGACAGGGACCGCGCACUUAUUUGCCAUUAUGAAAACUGUAGCUACCUUUUUUGUAGCAUUUGCAAGCCUGUCCGAGAGUUGUGUUCUGCUGAUAGAGUUCAGUCAGGGUUGGGAGAUUUAAGAUCUGAUCCAUUGAUGGCUGUCCAUGGUAGAGAGUGUUCUGGCUCUGGCACUUAUAUAGGUGAAGUUGCUCUACCUCCUCCCAAACGCAAGAGGUUGGAGGAUUGCUUUUUGUCUGGGAACGUUUCUUCUUCUCCGGAUGCUGAUUCAGUUGAUGAAUCUUUCAAAUCUGGAGGGACUUCACAGUGCAAAAGCUGGUCUGAAAGUCCUCUGUGUAAUAAUGAAAAUCAAGAAGUUACAAAAAUGGAAGACUUAUGCUUUCAUGAGAAUCCCAUUCCAGAUAUGAAAAGAGAGAAGUUACACUCUUCAGAAGACACAGCUUUUGUAACAUCAAAUCAUAACCCUGAAAAUAGUCAAGGAGUGGCAUAUGGUGAUGGGCCCUUUCUUUGUGGAAAGCUCAAUUAUGGGACUAGCAAAUCUGGUGAUUUGAAGUCUGACAUUCUACCUGUUCUUGAGGAGCCAAACGUUGUCCAAGAAAAGGGGGGGAUACAUUAUUUGUCCAAGCCUACCCAACCUGAAUCAAAAGCUAAAGCAGACUCAAGAGAAGCUGCAACUGAUAAUCAAUCAGGGACCAGUUUGGAGGAUGUGAAGAAGCUACCUGUGUCAUUGGUUGACUUUCUCAGUUCUGUGGAAAUAAAUGAACAUAUAUGCAGUCUCAGUCAAUCAGUGGCUCAGGUUUGUGCAACAUACCCAUUAGAUUAACAUUUUAGUUUGAAAGCUGCAGUAGAGGCUGCUGCGACAUUUGUUUUGUUUUUGUUGCCUGUUCUUGUUUUUGUGAUUACCUUUUGUGUCAUGUAGAUGUUUCGAACUUGUCCUUGCAUUUUCUCCUGUGCAGGUCAAAUAUUUCUAGUGCUAUUAAUUCAAGUAAAUCAUCUUUCCAUGAUGAAUAUCAUAGCUUUUUUUGUUUUUCUAAUAGGGCAUUACAACGGAGUCAAAAGAAAACCUCAUGGAAAGUUGUGUUGCCGAAAACAAGUGCCAGUUGUGCAACAUGGAUCAGCUUGUCUUUAGCCCAACACCUAUGUAUUGUUCAUCCUGCAAUCUUCGCAUCAAGCACAAUUUGAUAUAUUAUUGGACACUAGAUGAAAUGGGUUCUAGGCAUUGUUUCUGUACACGAUGCUUUAAGGAGUCCCGUGGCGGUAGUAUUACAUUACAACAGGGGAUGUCUGUAUCUAAGGCACUACUUCAGAAGGAAAGGAAUAAUGAGGAAAAUGAAGAAUCGGUUAGCUCACUCAUCUGUGUAGACUAUUUCUUUUUCCCCUCCCCUCUCAAUUAAAGUCUUUGUGUUCAAUGUCUAUGACAUCUCUUCUAUGUUCAGUGGGUGCAAUGUGACAAGUGUGGUUGCUGGCAACAUCAGAUCUGUGGUUUGUAUAAUGCCAAAAGAGAUGCAGAGGGAAAGGCCAAGUAUAUUUGUCCAUAUUGCCGCUUAAAAGAGAUUGAAAUUGGUGAGCAUGUGCCUCUACCUGCUGCUUUUGGGGCAAAAGAUCUUCCGCGUACAAAACUAAGUGAUCAUAUUGAGCAGAGACUGUUUGGGAAACUCAAGAGAGAAAGAGAAGAGAGGGCGAAGUUUCUGGGUAAAGAUCUUGAUGAGGUAAGUUAUCUAUAGAACUUGGUUGUAAACCAUUUUGUUGUUUUUUUUUCCUGGACGUGUGACAGUUGUUAAACAAAUUUUACUGUUUGAACUUGGCUAAUAGAAAGUCUAGUUCGAUAACAGGAUGAUUUAUGUACAAUAUCCACAUGUUGACAAACCAUUAAUGCUAACACUAUGGGGGAGAUCAGUAUCUUUCAUUAAUUUAGUAAAAUAUUGAGCUGAACUUUUUCUUACUGAAUUUCUUGAUUUAAGAUAAAUUAAACUUACCUACAACAUGUGACAAAUUGUCCAUGUUAGAGGUUUUGACUUUUUUUUCCCCUUGUGAAUUCUUAGAUGUAUGUUUUUCUUUUAAUCACUUGCGUACUACCAUAAUGUUGUCCCUUUGUGAAAUACUUGGUCGCUAGUGAAUUGGCACCCUUUUAAAAGGAAAAAAUAGCUGCUUGCUUAGCUGCAAAUUGUUUCUAGUUAGAAAGAUCUCAUCAUUUUGCAUUGCCAUCAUGAAAGGAAAAAGGAAGACUGGCUGAAAAAAAAUUAAUUGUGAAUUUGGAUAGCCUAUACUCUUCUAGUGCAAAAUCAUAGCAGUGUUAUUUGUUGUAUGAUAUACUUUUUGUGACUAGGUACCUGAAGCAGCAGAACUCGUUGUUCGUGUGGUCUUAUCUAUGAACAAACUUUUGCAAGUGAAGCAGCAAUUCUUGGAUAUUUUUCCUGAUGAAGAUUAUCCAGAAGAGUUCCCAUAUAAGUCCAGGGUAAGAGGUUGAGUUCUUAUCAGGAUAUGUAGCAGUACUUGUAACUCAUUAGUUUUUGAUAGUUUCAGUGUAAUUUUUGGUAAUUUUGCUUCUGUAAUUGGACUGUUUAGUGGAAUUGAUCUGAUCCUUGUUUAUACAAAUCUUAAACAUAAGCUAAUUGUCAAAAUGUAAUAUCAUAUAACAGUUAAAGUUGGCCCCAAUAAGACAAUGCCUUGCAACUAUAUUUCCUAUCAAUUGCUGCCUCUUAUGAAUAAUAUGUUGAUAUGUGCUAUGAAAUAGUAUUCAGAAUAGUAGGUGGGGGAAAGAAUUCAGAAAAGGGGAAAUGUCCAACUCAAUACUACAUCAGGAGUUUUAUAUUUCUUUUCUGGUUUCUAUUUUUUCUUACAUGGAGAUAUCCUGGAUGCUUAAUAUAUCCUUGGUGUACAGGUGAUCCUAUUGUUCCAGAAAAUUGAAGGCGUAGAUGUAUGUCUAUUUGGUAUGUAUGCCCAGGAGUUUGGAUCAGAAUGUGGUCAACCAAAUCAGCGCUGCCUCUAUAUCUCAUAUCUGGAUUCUGUCAAGUACUUUAGGCCUGAAAUAGAAACUGUUUCUGGUGAAGCUCUUCGCACCUUUGUAUAUCAAGAAAUUUUGGUACUUACUCUUUUCUGAAAUCACUCUCUUCUACUCCUCCUAGCUGUGUGAAAAUUUUCAUAUAUAUUACCUAUAUGCUGGUUUUAUGCUUUUCUUGGUCAUUGUUGCAGAUUGGUUAUCUUGAUUACUGCAAGAAACUGGGCUUUGCAACCUGCUAUAUAUGGGCUUGCCCACCAAUAAAAGGGGAGGAUUAUAUUCUGUACUGCCAUCCCGAGACUCAGAAAACGCCAAAGCCAGAAAAGUUGCGGCAGUGGUAUAUGUUUCUGACUCUGUUUUCUGCGACACUUCUUUUUUUCUUUUUUCUGUUUACAACUAUCUCAGAAAACCAUUUGACACACUCAUGCUUGCAAAUCAGUAUUGCUUGUCAUGCUACUGGAGAUCUUGGACUUGCAACCUAGUGGAUCUUUGUAUUUGGUUAGGUUCCUCCUUAGGCUCAAUACAUAGGUUCUUUUUCUGUGAUCUAUGACAUCACUCGUUUACUACAUAAAAACUGCCUUUCUAUGAGUUACAUCAACCUAGACCUUUGCAGUACACCAAUUACAGGAUCCUUGAGUGGCAGUUUUGAUCUCUUUAAGUUAUUCAGUGUGUAGUUGUUAACAAUGCCAUAAUUUGUUUGUGUGAUACCUUCUUUUACUUUGAAUAUCUAUUUGCAACUUCUUUUGUGCCUUUGCAUGCUUUACUAAUACUACAUUUGCAGGUACAAGUCAAUGCUUAAGAAAGCGGUGCAAGAGGGUAUCGUGGUGGAUUACACCAAUAUGUAUGAUCGUUCUUUUAUUUCAAAUGGGGAGUGCGGUACCAAGAUAACAGCAGCUCGUUUGCCAUAUUUUGAUGGAGACUAUUGGUCGGGGGCUGCUGAGGAGAUGAUAAUGGACAUGAGAAAGCCAAAAGGAGAAGCACGAGGGAAGGUCAAAAAUUUGACAAAGCGAUCUCUGAAAGCAAUGGGACUUGACAAUCUGACUGAUGAUGCAACAAAAGAUAUCCUGGUGAUGCAAAAGGUAAUUUCUGCUCAACAUGUUAAGGGUCCUUUAUUUGCAAGAAUGCAUUUUAUAGCAGUAUUUUGUUACCAUUUGCAUAGGUCUGGAUUCUGAUCUUCUGAUGAGCAUGACCUUGAUAUGUUGGGUCAACUAAACUGGCAACCCCUCAGUUUUGCCAAGCUAUAUAGACCUCACUUGAGUUUUUAAAACUUGCAAGGAGCUUAGGCAUGACUUUAACUCCAGAUUAACGCUCUAGUAUUACAACCAUGGCCCUUAUCAAAAGAAAAGGAUCAGAACCACCUAACAAAAAUAUGAAGGAAUAAAUUUCGUUAUAUAUGGCUAUUGUAAAUGUAUGCAAUUUACAUGCUUUUGGUUUCAAAUCUAUACCAAAAGAAGAAACAUAACUAUCAGUAAGCAGCUUGUCUAUCUAUAUGUGGUCCAUUAACUUUCUCCAUUUUGGACUUGAUUGAAAUUACAUCCUCUCAAGUUGCGAUUUGAAGGAGAACAAAACAUCCCUUGUACUGAAAAUGAAAGAAUAGAAUUAAAAAAAGGAGAGAAAAGCAUGUUAAUCAUUGCUUGGAUCCCUGUUGGAGCUGCUUAAUAGUCCCAAGCCCCUCUUCCAUCACCUCCUUGUUUAAUUACUUGCUUUUGUCACCGGUAUGCACUAGUAAGCAAUAUUUUGCAUGGUUAUAGUUUGAUAUGUGCUACUAUUCAUGGUUUUCGGAAUUAUAAUUACUUAUUAGCAUCAUUAACAUGGGAUAGUGAAUCCUGGCUGAAGCCAAAAGUAUUAAGUCAGCAACUUUCUUAUUUAUGUAAUUGAAUUAUUUAAUAUUGCUGUUUAAUCGUUCUCUUUUUCACUGACAGCUGGGCCAUACCAUCUUACCUUUGAAGGAAGACUUUCUAGUCGUCCACCUGCAGUUCACUUGCAAGAACUGUCAUAACUUAAUUCUAUCUGGUGCACAUUGGUUUUGUAACCAAUGCAAAAAUUAUUAUUUAUGUUCAAGGUGAUUAUCUAGUUCAAGUUUUUUGCUUAUUUUGUACUUCUGCCUCCUCCUCUUUGUUGUUCAUGAAUCUUUGUAUCUUAAAGAUUAUUAACCUACUUGAUUUUAUUUUAAUUACGUGUUUUUCUUCAUAUUGGUUUGUCUUUGGCUCAUGCUGUUGAUUGUUUCUUAUGGUAUUUACAAGCUUUGACUUGCACUUUAAGAUUAGCAAUUUUUUAUGGCUAUGUUUUAGGUCAAAAAUUGAUGUUUGAAUACAGAAUACUUAAUUGAAGGAUUCAUCUCAUCCUUUGUGGAAUAAGAAAAGGAAAAAGAAAGGAAGAAAAGGAUAAAGAAUGUGCUUUUUGCCAAUGCUCCAAGACAUUUUUCUAGUUUUUCAAGGGAAUUCUUUUCAGAAAAAAUUGGUGGACUUUUAACUGUUUGUUAGUUCAUGCGUGAAUCAACAAUAAAUUGUGGCAUUACUUAUUCGAUAUUGUAUAAACUGCAUUGAUUGUAAAAUUUUUUGACCAAGAUAACUUAUCAUUAAGUUGUUUGACCAAGGCAAUUGUUUGGAUGCAUGUUUUUAGGAAGAGUUUGCAAUAGCUUUUUUUUUUGGUAUAAUUGUGUGUAACAGAAAGGUGGUUGGAAAAUGUGUGGAGAGUUUUUCAGAAUAAGUUCUCCCCCAGACAAAAAUAUAAUAUGUGUAUAGAUAGCAUAAUAUGUGUAUAGAUAGCAUAAUAAUUCUAGUAGUAAAACUAGAAUCAUAAUAAUAAGUGUGUUCUUGUUUCUCGUGUUUAUUGCAGAUGCCUUCAAGUGGAGCAAACUCCUAAUGAGACAAAAACACAUACUUCCUCUGGCGGUGAAGAACAUUUCCUGUCACAGGUUAUUUCUUACCUCUGAAAUUGCAGGAAGAGAACUUUUUUUUUUUGUGCAUUAAAUUUACUGUCUAACCUCCUUUCUACAUUUUUACGUUGAAAACUUUAGCCUUCUCAAUAUGUUGUGUCUGUGGAUGCUUACUCUUUGCAGGUCACGGUUAAUGACAUACCUAUCGAUACUGCAGAGAGUGAUGUCAUUUUAGAUAAUGAUAUCUUUGAAAAUCGCCACUCUUUCCUGAGUUUCUGUCAGGGAAACCAUUACCAGUUUAAUACUCUUCGCCGUGCCAAGCACUCGUCAAUGAUGAUCUUGUAUGAUCUCCACAAGCAGAUGCCAUUUACUAUGGUGACAACCUGCAGUAUUUGCUUUAGAGAUAUCAUGAUUGGAGCAGGAUGGCAUUGUGAGAGUUGUCCUAGCUUUGACAUUUGUAUUACAUGCUACCAUAAAAGUGGCAAAGGUUGUCAUAACCACAAGUUGGUCCAGCAUUUGACUAAAAAUCAAGCACAGCGGAAGAAAGCAUUUCAGGUAUAUCUCUGAAGUUUCUAUUUUGAUGGUUUCUAAUUCUCUAGUUAUCAGCAUUUCAGGUAUAGCACAACUAGAAAAGAAUAGUGAACCCUCAGAGUGGCCUGGCAUAGGGAUGGCUGCCUUUGGGAUUUGGGUGAAACCUUCCUGCAAGUUAGCCCAAACACCUAAUAUCUCGCUGGUAGAGUUUGUUGCCUAUUGCACAUGCCAGUAUACCAGCUGCAUACCCAAAGUGUAGUGGCUGAGGGUUUACCACUAUAUGUUAAAAAAAAAAAAGAAUGAAAAAAAGAAAAGAGAGUAGGUAUCUGUGUAUUUUAUAAUGAAACUAAACAAGUUUCUAACUUUGCUUAGGUCCAUUUUGUUGAUUUGGAGAAAUAAUAUCGUUCUUUAUCGAUUCAUGUACAUGGUGCAGGUGGAAGUUCUAAAUGCAUUAGAUCAAGCCUCUCAAUGUCAUGUGACAAGAAGCAGCCCUUGCUCACACCCUCGGUGUCUUCAAGUUAGAAAGCUUUUUCAUCACUCAAGUCAAUGCAAAAUUCGGCAUGCAGGGGGUUGUCAGUACUGUUGGAAAGUAUGGUUCAUGAUACGUACACACUCAAGGGUGUGCAAGGAUUCCAGGUGCCCAGUGCCACGAUGCAUGUACGUUACAUUUGCUAUAUGCUAUAUGGUGCAGCCUAUACUUUCUUGCUUCUAAGUUGCAACUUUUUUUGACCCACAUUUCUCAUUAUCCAGGGAUGUUAAAGAGCAAACUGAAAUGUGGUCAAGGAAGUCAGAGAUGCGCAGAAGGGCUGCAGUCAAAAGUUUAAAACUGCUUGAGGUUUCAUGCGACAGUUGAUUGCCUGAUGUACAUGUGGCAGAAUCAUCUUACUUAUAAAACAGUUCAAAGGCCGUAACAGGACUUUUUUGUGUAGUGAUAAACAGAAACUAGGUUUCAAGAAUCUGGUCCAUUAUUGGUUGACAAAGCUGCUCCCUGUCAUGGGUGGAUAAGAGUCACAUUAGCUUGCAGACUAUGCUCAGAAAUUCUUGGGCAAUUUUGCUUACAGAUAAACGAGAGGAAACUGUAUAUAACAUAGAUUAGGAUAUCAUAGGUAACAAUCUUCUAAUAAUUAAACUUACCUGUAAAAAGUGAUCCAGAACAAAGUAGUUUCAGCUUGAGUCCGAUAUGGCCUGAUAAAGUAGGUUCACAUUUGUAUUUGUAUAAUUCUGUUAGCUUUCUCGGCUGUCUAGUUCUUCUUCUAUCUAGUGGCAUCAUCGAGAUGAUUCUGGAUGUAUGGGUAUUUGAUGUAUUAAAGUUUUAUUUUUUCUUUUUUGAACACAGAUUGCAGCAGAAGCUGUAUGUAUGCAUGAUUUCUUCAAAUAAAGAUAAAAGAUUAUCUUAGGUCUCCUUCCCAUAUUCGGGAAUAAGAAUUUGACUUUAUUUGUUUAUCAUGGUUUUGUUAUGGCGAUGAAUAGUUAUACCCCUAAAAGGAAAAUCGCUGGCUGUUCAUUAUCUGCUUGAUGUUGCCAUCUGAAUCGGCCUUGAGUCAUUAAAAAAUACAAAGUGAAAUAACUUUAAAUAAUUUGUGCUCACACCACAAACACAAUCAGUCGAGACUCUAAUUAAGAAAAAGUAUUACAACUACACUUUUCGGAUGGUCAAGCUGGAUCUGAUUUUCCUUUCUUUAUUAUCUUUUUAUUACUCUUUUUCAAGUAUGAAAAUGUGCUAAAACGUUCAUUUGAUCUAGAUAAAUGUGUCUCUCCUCUAGUCUCUUACACAAUUCAAUUGGUUUCUCUUUCCUUGUAAAAAUAGGAUAGUAUAGAAUUAGGAGUGUCAGAGAAUCAAUCAAAUUAAUAACCCGACAAAACAUGCUUGCUUCCAUCGUCAGUCUCACUACCUCUCAUUUCACUUUAGAAACCCUCUUUUUCACUGUCUAUUUUUUUUAGAUCAUCUCACCUAAAUUGAGUGUUCGAUUGAGUUCAAGAUCGAGUUUAAAUAUGCUUGAGUUAAAAAAAUGCAUGUUCAAUAAGUUCGAACUCGAGUACAUACCUAUCGAGGAUCGAGUUCGAGUUCAAGUAAAGUGACGUUCGAGGUCGAACCGAUAGAUUACACCGUUGCUGAUUGACCGGAAAAAAAAAUAUAUAUGAACAUGUGCUUAUCACUACACGCAUGAAUGUGAAACGGUUAUAAGUUGGGUUUAGACGAAGCUCCUCUUUCUCAUUCGGGAGAAUCGGGACAACAGCAACACAGCAAUUUAUUACUACUAUUUUGGGAAUUUGGUUGUUUGAACUCGAAAAGUUAAUGUUAGCAGACCAGGAAAAAAAAAUAUAUAUAUAUAUAUAUAUAUUUUUUUUUUGGUGCGCAUGCGCGGCUUUACACUCCUAUACCUUGAGAUUCACCAAAUUCUUACUAGAUUCUUAAGUUUCGCUAGAGGGGCUUUGAGGAGGUGAAAAGACAAAUAGAUAAAAAGUCCCUGGAAUCCGUCCAGAAUGUCCAGCACCAACCAUUGACACCAGAACAUAAAUUGUACCAAGGACCAGAAUAAAUACGAGAACAGAGCAUCCUUGGCAUUGAGAAGUCUAUUUGAUGGUGAAGGCUGAAGCUUGGAUCUUCAACCAAAGUUCAUCAAACUUUCAAAGGAAAACAUUCUAAUCUUUCUCCAUUUCUCCUCUCCCUAUCCUUCCAUCCAGACGAGUGGCAGCUAUUGUUAGAUGUAGAAGAAAACCCAAUGGUUUUUGGUUGCAGAAAAAUGAGCUUAUUUCAUAUAUGAACGAAUCAGCCUUAGCUCUGUAUCAUCUUUUGCCUUUCCAGGAGUCUGGUAGGGAACAAUAUCACAGUCAAUGAGCAUGUAAAUGGCUACAUAGCCUAAAUGCUCUGUGCAGCAGUUCAUGGUAAAAAAUGGACAAAUUUGAAUUUAGAUGAUUAGGACUAGAUGUUGAACACUAUUUUCAAAAAGUGAUAAAAUUUGUCAUGUUUUUGCAAUUUGUUCUUUUAUUGUCAACAUUUGUUGCUUUAACGUCUAACAGUAUCUAUUGUGCUAGCUCUUGAGCUGCCCAAGUAUAUAGUGUCAUAACUAGAAGAGAGAUGCCCGAUACAGGUGCCACGAAAAUGCUACUGCAGAAAAAAACAAACCCUAUACCACCUGUACAAUCAAGAACAUAUAAUAGUUUUGGGACGAUGCAAAUUUUUGGCUGUGGGAGGCCAAUUCGCUCCAAAUAGAUGGCAAGAUCUAAUUUACGACCACCAAAUAUUUAGGAGUCCAUCUACACAUUUGGGUCCUCGAUAGGCGCAAGUAUCAUAAAGGUUACGUAUCAAAAAGUACAAAAGUGAGACGGGCCUAAGCAAGCCUUUGACACAAACAAUUAAGUAAAUCAUGAAAUCAGAGUUAAGAAACACCAGUUCACUGUUUGUAUAUAGUGGCCAUGAUCACUACAGUUAUCGACAUUUCAAUUGUCAAUCAAUAGAGGCCCCCACAUCCCUAAUAAUAACAAAAGGGCAAAACCAAAAUACUCUCAUCUAAAUUGGCUGUCGUCAUUGACUAACCUCCUAAAAUAAUGCACACUACUACUACUACUACACAAAAGAGACCUCUAGGCAGCAAAAGUAGAGAACUCCUAGG